GACGAACGCUGGUGGCGUGCUUAACACAUGCAAGUCGAACGGGAUUUAGUAAACAGAAGCCUCGGUGGAAGAUUACUAAUGAGAGUGGCGAACGGGUGAGUAACGCGUGAGCAACCUGCCUAUGACAGUGGGAUAGCCUCGGGAAACCGGGAUUAAUACCGCAUAAAAUCGUAGAAACACAUGUUUUAACGGUCAAAGAUUUAUCGGUCAUAGAUGGGCUCGCGUCUGAUUAGCUAGUUGGUGAGAUAACAGCCCACCAAGGCGACGAUCAGUAGCCGGUCUGAGAGGAUGAACGGCCACAGUGGAACUGAGACACGGUCCAAACUCCUACGGGAGGCAGCAGUGGGGAAUAUUGCACAAUGGGGGAAACCCUGAUGCAGCGACGCCGCGUGAACGAAGAAGGUAUUCGUAUCGUAAAGUUCUGUCCUAUGGGAAGAUAAUGACAGUACCAUAGAAGAAAGCUCCGGCUAAAUACGUG
rnacentral:rRNA from 1 species